rnacentral:rRNA from 1 species
CUGGCUCAGGAUGAACGCUGGCGGCGUGCUUAACACAUGCAAGUCGAACGGGGUAUAAAGAAGGAAGUUUCGGAUGGAAUUUUUAUACUUAGUGGCGGACGGGUGAGUAACGCGUGGGGAACCUGCCCCAUACCGGGGGACAACAGUUGGAAACGACUGCUAAUACCGCAUAAGCGCACGGUGUGGCAUCACACAGUGUGAAAAACUCCGGUGGUAUGGGAUGGCCCCGCGUUGGAUUAGGCAGUUGGCGGGGUAACGGCCCACCAAACCGACGAUCCAUAGCCGACCUGAGAGGGUGACCGGCCACAUUGGGACUGAGACACGGCCCAAACUCCUACGGGAGGCAGCAGUGGGGAAUAUUGCACAAUGGGGGGAAACCCUGAUGCAAGCGACGCCGCGUGAGUGAAGAAGUUAUUUCGGUAUGUAAAGCUCUAUCAGCAGGGAAGAAAAUGACGGUACCUGCAGAAGAAGCCCCGGCUAACUACGUGCCAGCAGCGGC